rnacentral:rRNA from 1 species
UGGGGAAUAUUGCGCAAUGGGCGAAAGCCUGACGCAGCAACGCCGCGUGAGUGAUGAAGGCCUUCGGGUCGUAAAGCUCUGUCGGAGGGAACGAAUGCUCUUGGAGUUAACAGCUUCAGGAGGUGACGGUACCCUCAAGGGAAGCACCGGCUAACUCUGUGCCGGCAGCCGCGGUAAUACAGAGGGUGCAAGCGUUAAUCGGAAUUACUGGGCGUAAAGCGUGCGCAGGCGGUUGUGUAAGUCAGAUGUGAAAUCCCCGGGCUCAACCUGGGAAUUGCAUUUGAGACUGCACGGCUAGAGUGUGUCAGAGGGGGGUAGAAUUCCACGUGUAGCAGUGAAAUGCGUAGAUAUGUGGAGGAAUACCGAUGGCGAAGGCAGCCCCCUGGGAUAACACUGACGCUCAUGCACGAAAGCGUGGGGAGCAAACAGGAUUAGAUACCCACGUAGUCCCUGAGCGGGCUGGCAAGGCGCAU